UCAGACGAUGCGUCAUGCAUAUCAAUAAGCGGAGGAAAAGAAACUAACAAGGAUUCCCCUAGUAACGGCGAGUGAAGCGGGAAGAGCUCAAAUUUGAAAUCUUCAAGGUUUUACCUUGACGAAUUGUAGUUUAAAGAAGUGUUUUCUGCUGAAGUUUUGGUAAAAGUUCUUUGGAAUAGGACAUCAUAGAGGGUGAGAAUCCCGUAUUUGACCAUUAUUUUCAGCUUUGUGAUACACUUUCAAAGAGUCGGAUUGUUUGGGAAUGCAGUCCAAAAUGGGUGGUAAAUUUCAUCUAAAGCUAAAUAUUGGCGAGAGACCGAUAGCGAACAAGUACCGUGAGGGAAAGAUGAAAAGAACUUUGAAAAGAGAGUUAAACAGUACGUGAAAUUGUCAAAAGGGAAGCGUUUGACACCAGUGUUGUUUUCUCGAAAAUCAAUUAAAGAUGGCUCGAUUUUGUAUUGUUUGAGACCUUAAAAGCUCACUGUACAUUUUUCGUGUCUUUUUUAAUGCACUUUUCGUUUAACAAGUCAACAUCAGUUUCUUUUGUUGUAAAAGGGUCAUUGGAAGGUGGCUUUCUUUUCGGAGAAAGUGUUUAUAGCCUUUGGCCUCUGCAAUCGGAGAGACUGAGGUCUGCAGCGUAGACUCUUCGGGGUUAGAUACAUUUGUGCUAAGUUAUAGCUUUUUAUAGACAACUUGUUGACUAUAAUUAGUCUUGUAGCUUACUCGCUUAUGCUAUUUUACCUACGCUUAGGAUGUUGACUGAUAUGUAGUCGUA
rnacentral:rRNA from 1 species